GGCCCCAUCGUCUAGAGGCCCAGGACACCGCCCUUUCAAGGCGAGAACACCGGUUCGAAUCCGGUUGGGGCUGCCA
rnacentral:tRNA from 2 species